GGGCUUAUAGCUCAGUUGGUCAGAGCGCACGCCUGAUAAGCGUGAGGUCGAUGGUUCGAAUCCAUCUAAGCCCA
rnacentral:tRNA from 2 species